GAAAGAAAAAGAGCAAAAAAAAAAUCUAAUGUUUUUUAAGAACCUUUUGAAUGGCCAGCUAGAUUUCCGGAAAAGGCUACGAUUGUACUGAUAUCCCGCAUACCAGAUUGUUUCUGCUAUAGAGAUUGUAUUGCCUCAACAAAGGCCCUUAGAUUCCGAACGGACGAUCCUUCUUCACCCACAGCAUCCUGCGCCUUCUCACGCCACAGCUUCGCCCUCUUCCUUAUCUCUCCACCCUCUUCUCCAUCUCCCAUCACUAAAUCGACGCACCGCUUCAACUCCGUCCCCUCCACCA
rnacentral:misc_RNA from 1 species